rnacentral:misc_RNA from 1 species
UCGUGGAUGGGCAUGCAUUCCUGUCAUUCCUUCUUACUCUAAAAGUUACUCGGAUAAUAAAUUACUUCCCACAUCCUUUAAAGAAGCUAGGCCUAAUUGCUAUAGUCGCUCCUCAGCAACACCUGGAGUGCCUCUAUACCCUCUCCAGUAACAUUUGGUUAAAAUAUCCCCAGUGAGGGCUGUGUUAGCGUGUGUUUUUGGGAGUGGUAUCUUAAAUAGUGGUAGUGACUCUGCUAUAUCUAGUUCCUUCGAUGAUGGAUUAUUGCCA